CAGGGUCUCUCUCUGUUGCCCAGUUUGGAGUGCAAUGGUGUAAUCAUGGCUCACUGUAGCCUCAAACUCCUGGCUCAAGCCAUCCUCCUAUGUCGGCCUCCUGAGUAUGGGAAAACAGAGGACCUACAUUUUGGUGUGGCGAGCAGGGUCACCAAAGCUGCUCUGCUCUUCCGGAAGCCACAGAAAAGGGAACCCAGGAACCAGAUCAGCUGGCAAAAAGUGUGGAGUAGUUUUCUACCAGGACAAAGUUAACAACCCAUAAAGGUCUCUGCUUAAGUAAGAAGUCCAUUUCUGUGAACCAUAACCCAGAUAUAGCAACGCCAGACUGUCUCCUAUCAAAAUUUAUUGAAAUGGUAGAUUUUUGGAUUCCUGCGGUCACACCUUGCAACCAGUCUCCCACUCAUCUGCCACAGUUUCCCUAAAUCAGAUUCU
rnacentral:lncRNA from 10 species